rnacentral:rRNA from 1 species
AUUGAACGCUGGCGGCAUGCUUUACACAUGCAAGUCGAACGGUAACAGGCCUUCGGGCGCUGACGAGUGGCGAACGGGUGAGUAAUGCAUCGGAACGUGCCCAGUCGUGGGGGAUAACGCAGCGAAAGCUGUGCUAAUACCGCAUACGAUCUGCGGAUGAAAGCGGGGGACCUUCGGGCCUCGCGCGAUUGGAGCGGCCGAUGUCAGAUUAGGUAGUUGGUGGGGUAAAGGCUCACCAAGGCGACGAUCAGUAGCUGGUCUGAGAGGAUGACCAGCCACAUUGGGACUGAGACACGGCCCAAACUCCUACGGGAGGCAGCAGUGGGGAAUCUUGGACAAUGGGCGCAAGCCUGAUCCAGCCAUGCCGCGUGCAGGAUGAAGGCCUUCGGGUUGUAAACUGCUUUUGUACGGAACGAAAAGACUCUGGUUAAUACCUGGGGUCCAUGACGGUACCGUAAGAAUAAGCACCGGCUAACUACGUGCCAGCAGCCGCGGUAACAC